rnacentral:rRNA from 1 species
CACGUAGGGGGCGAGCGUUGUCCGGAUUCAUUGGGCGUAAAGGGCGCGCAGGCGGCCCGGAAAGUCGGAUGUGAAAACUCGAGGCUCAACCUCGAGCGUGCACCCGAUACUGCCGGGCUUGAGGCAGGUAGGGGAGAUCGGAAUUCCUGGUGUAGCGGUGAAAUGCGCAGAUAUCAGGAGGAACACCGGUGGCGAAGGCGGAUCUCUGGGCCUGUCCUGACGCUGAGGCGCGAAAGCUAGGGGAGCAAACAGG